UCGCGGCGGUGGGCGCAGAAGGGUCUGGGCUCGAGCCUGCCUGGAGCCGCCGCCGGUGCAGAUCUUGGUGGUAGUAGCAAAUACUCCAGCGAGGCCCUGGAGGACUGAUGUGGAGAAGGGUUUCGUGUGAACAGCCGUUGCACACGAGUCAGUCGAUCCUAAGCCCUAGGAGAAAUCCGAUGCAAACGGCGAUGGGAAACGCAAAAGAAAGACGACUGCUCGUCCUAAAGAGACAGAGACCCAUUGAUCGGGCGAAAGGGAAUCCGGUUCCUAUUCCGGAACCCGGCAGCGGAACCGUUGUUUGUCGGGCCCUCACAAGGGGUUCGUCAGGGCAACCUAAAAGGGCCCGGAGACGCCGUCGGGGGCCCCGGAAAGAGUUUUCUUUUCUGCAUGAGCGUUCGAGUUCCCUGGAAUCCUCUCGCAGGGAGAUAGGGUUUGGAACGCGAAGAGCACCGCAGUUGCGGCGGUGCACGGGAAUUCCCGACGGACCUUGAAAAUCCGGGAGAGGGCCACGUGGAGGUGUCGCGCCGGCUCGUACCCAUAUCCGCAGCAGGUCUCCAAGGUGAAUAGCCUCUAGUC
rnacentral:rRNA from 1 species